GAUGAACGCUGGCGGCGUGCUUAACACAUGCAAGUCGAACGAUGAAGCCCAGCUUGCUGGGUGGAUUAGUGGCGAACGGGUGAGUAACACGUGAGUAACCUGCCCUUAACUCUGGGAUAAGCCUGGGAAACUGGGUCUAAUACGGGAUAGGAGCGUCCACCGCAUGGUGGGUGUUGGAAAGAUUUAUCGGUUUUGGAUGGACUCGCGGCCUAUCAGCUUGUUGGUGAGGUAAUGGCUCACCAAGGCGACGACGGGUAGCCGGCCUGAGAGGGUGACCGGCCACACUGGGACUGAGACACGGCCCAGACUCCUACGGGAGGCAGCAGUGGGGAAUAUUGCACAAUGGGCGCAAGCCUGAUGCAGCGACGCCGCGUGAGGGAUGACGGCCUUCGGGUUGUAAACCUCUUUCAGUAGGGAAGAAGCGAAAGUGACGGUACCUGCAGAAGAAGCACCGGCUAACUACGUG
rnacentral:rRNA from 1 species